UGGCGGACGGGUGAGUAAUGUCUGGGAAACUGCCCAAUGGAGGGGGAUAACUACUGGAAACGGUAGCUAAUACCGCAUAACGUCGCAAGACCAAAGAGGGGACCUUCGGGCCUCUUGCCAUCGGAUGUGCCCAGAUGGGAUUAGCUAGUAGGUGGGGUAACGGCUCACCUAGGCGACGAUCCCUAGCUGGUCUGAGAGGAUGACCAGCCACACUGGAACUGAGACACGGUCCAG
rnacentral:rRNA from 1 species